rnacentral:rRNA from 1 species
AGCAGCCGCGGUAAUUCCAGCUCCAAUAGCGUAUAUUAAAGUUGUUGCAGUUAAAAAGCUCGUAGUUGAAUUUCGGGACCAAUAUGUCGGUCGUGCUUCGGUACGUACUUGCAUUAUUGGUUUCUCCCUUCUGACGAACCACGAUGUCAUUAAUUUGGUGUCUUGGGGAAUCAGGACUGUUACUUUGAAAAAAUUAGAGUGUUUAAAGCAGGCUCGCGCUUGAAUACAUUAGCAUGGAAUAAUGAAAUAGGACGUUUGAUUCUAUUUUGUUGGUUUCUAGGAUCGACGUAAUGAUUAAUAGGGAUAGUUGGGGGCAUUAGUAUUCAAUUGUCAGAGGUGAAAUUCUUGGAUUUUAUUGAAGACUAACUACUGCGAAAGCAUUUGCCAAGGAUGUUUUCAUUAAUCAAGAACGAAAGUUAGGGGAUCGAAGACGAUCAGAUACCGUCGUAGUCUUAACCAUAAACUAUGCCGACUAGGGAUCGGAUGAUGUUAAUUUUUUAAUGACUCAUUCGGCGCCUUA